rnacentral:rRNA from 1 species
AUUGAACGCUGGCGGUAGGCCUAACACAUGCAAGUCGAGCGAGCGGCGGACGGGUGCGUAAUGUCUGGGAAACUGCCUGAUGGAGGGGGAUAACUACUGGAAACGGUAUCGACUACCGCAUACCAUCAGAUGUGCCCGGGUGGGAUUAGCUAGUGGGUGGGGUAACGGCUCACCUAGGCGACGAUCCCUAGCUGGUCUGAGAGGAUGACCGGCCACACUGGAACUGUGACACGGUCCAGACUCCUACGGGAGGCAGCAGUUGGGAAUAUUGGACAAUGGGCGCAAGCCUGAUGCAGCCAUGCCGCGUGUGUGAAGAAGGCCUUCGGGUUGUAAAGCACUUUCAGCGGGGAGGCGUUACCCGCAGAAGAAGCACCGGCUAACUCCGUGCCAGCAGCCGCGGUAAUUC